UUAAAUUGAAGAGUUUGAUCAUGGCUCAGAUUGAACGCUGGCGGCAGGCCUAACACAUGCAAGUCGAACGGUAACAGGAAACAGCUUGCUGUUUCGCUGACGAGUGGCGGACGGGUGAGUAAUGUCUGGGAAACUGCCUGAUGGAGGGGGAUAACUACUGGAAACGGUAGCUAAUACCGCAUAACGUCGCAAGACCAAAGAGGGGGACCUUAGGGCCUCUUGCCAUCGGAUGUGCCCAGAUGGGAUUAGCUAGUAGGUGGGGUAAAGGCUCACCUAGGCGACGAUCCCUAGCUGGUCUGAGAGGAUGACCAGCCACACUGGAACUGAGACACGGUCCAGACUCCUACGGGAGGCAGCAGUGGGGAAUAUUGCACAAUGGGCGCAAGCC
rnacentral:rRNA from 1 species